rnacentral:rRNA from 1 species
GACGAACGCUGGCGGCGUGCUUAACACAUGCAAGUCGAGCGAAACGCCUCUUUCUUUGUGGUGUGCUCGCGUCGCACGCGUGUGUAUCACGUGGGCAUCCUCCCCUCUGCUCUUUGAUAUCUCUUCGAAACCCUGGGUCUUAUCCCAUAUGACCUCCCCUGCUAUCUGGUGGGGUUUGGAAUUUUUCGGCUGAGGAUGGGGCCGCGGCCUAUCAGCUGGUUGGUGGGGUAGUGGUCGACCAAGGCGACGACGGGUAGCCGGCCUGAGAGGGUGACCGGCCACAUUGGGACUGAGAUACGGCCCAGACUCCUACGGGAGGCAGCAGUGGGGAAUAUUGCGCAAUGGGCGGAAGCCUGAUGCAGCAACGCCGCGUGAGGGAUGAAGGCCUUCGGGUUGUAAACCGCUUUCAGCAGGGACGAAGCGAAGAUGACGGUAAUUGGAAAAGAAGCACCGGCUAACUACGUG